rnacentral:rRNA from 1 species
AUUGAACGCUGGCGGCAGGCCUAACACAUGCAAGUCGAACGAGUGGCGGACGGGUGAGUAAUGUCUGGGAAACUGCCCGAUGGAGGGGGAUAACUACUGGAAACGGUAGCUAACACCGCACACCAUCGGAUGUGCCCAGAUGGGAUUAGCUAGUAGGUGGAGUAACGGCUCACCUAGGCGACGAUCCCUAGCUGGUCUGAGAGGAUGACCUGCCACACUGGAACUGAGACACGGUCAAGACUCCUGCGGGGGGCAGCAGUGGGGAAUAUUGCACAAUGGGCGCAAGCAUGAUGCAGCCAUGCCGCGUGUAUGAAAGAGGCCUUCGGGUUGUAAAGUGCUUUCAGCGAGGAGGCGUUACUCGCAGAAGAAGCACCGGCUAACUCCGUGCCAGCAGCCGCGGUAAUAC